UCUUCAGAUGUUCAGCAGCUCCAGGAUCUGGUGAAGAGUCCAAACUCCAAACUGCAGACUCUGAGGUGGGGGUGGAAGGACUGAUGUUCCUCCUGGAGGAGCAGAGAGGAGCAGCAGCAGCAGCUGGUCUGCAGAGAUGUUGUGACUGGACGGUGUUCCUGGGAGGUGGAGAGCAGAGUGAUGGAGGAAUCAGAGGAAGUGGAGAUGAGUGUCAGAGCUGCAGCAGGAACUGAUCUGAGAUCAGCUCCACUGUCUCUCUCAGCAUCAAGUGGACAGUUAUUGUGCUGCAGCUCCCCCGGUGGACUGAUGGAGAACUGCACUUCAUCUUCUUCUAACUUGGAUCUGAAACGUCACUAUAGGUUCAAAUAAAGAUCAUCUUAAAAUGACUGAAAAAUUUGAAAUUUUGAAAACAGUUUUAAACUCAAAAGUACACAUCAUUAACUUGAAGGAAUUAUGGAAAAUGUUAAAAUAAAAUUGUAAAACUAAAAAAAGAAAUUGUAAAGUUGAAAGAAAUAUUUGAAACAAUUGCAACAUAUAAAAAGAAAAUUAUAAACCAAAGACUGUUACCAAACAAUAAAAAUAUUAAUGUAUUUUCAACUUUUUCCAGUUUCUAGCUCUUUGAUUUCUCAGUUUGUGGUUUCAGUUCCAUUUUUCAAGUUUUCACUGCUGAGCUGACAUGGGGGCGGGGCUUUGAGCUCAUUGGCUACCAGCACAUGAUUUCCCAUGUAGUGACAGAGGAAACUCCUCACUACACACUUUCUACUCUUUUCUCAGACAAACAUGAACAUUUUCACACUUAAGUGAUGAUGCUCUCCCAAAGUUUGGAACAUCAGUGUGUGUGUGUGUGUGUGUGUGUGUGUGUGUGUGUGUGUGUGGUGUUUGUAUUUCUACCCUUGUGGGAUCCGGGACCUGAAAUUUCACCCACCUCGUGGGUACCAAUUUUUUCCGUGGGGACCGAAGCUCGGUCCCCACAGGCACAAGCAUUGGAAUCAAUAGAAAAAAGCCUCCUGAUAUGCCUAGUGCUGUUUUUUUUGCAAAGUAAAAUUGGUCCCCUGGAGAUGACUUUUCAUGACAAGGUGUGUUUCACCAUGACACCCUAGUGGUCAGAGUGGGUAUAGCAGUGUGUGACGUUGGACUAAUGGGGACAUUUUCCUGACAAAGUGUGUACUUUUUCAAUAUCAUAUUUUAUGAUUACAAAUGUUGAAAUUACUUUUGGAAAGUGACAAUAUUUGUAUUGUCAAACAGAUAUACUUAGUUGAAACAAAUUAUGUCAUUUUUAAAGCCAGGAUAACCUGGCAAUUUCUACUCAAAUGUCAAAGGUAAAAAAGUGAGGCUUGAGGCCUAGUCCUGAAACAACACCUUUUGGGGUCUUGUGAGGGGAAAUGUGAUCGUAGGAGCAUCACACUUUGUACAGUAGCUAAGUACAAGGUUUUAACCAUUACUGGUAAGUUUGGUAGUUCUCACUCUAAGCAGAUCUGAGAAAUUAAAGAAAACACCUCAUCAGGAAAAUCUAGGAUGAGCUUAUUGUAAAUGUUUGCGUCUCCCUUGGUGGCCCAGAUUACGCUAGAGACUCCAAACUCUGGAUGGUGCAUUAGGGUAACAGCCUGAUGUAAUGCAAGAAGUUUCAGCCCCCCAGGUCAAAGCAUUGUUCCGGUAGCCCCCUGUACCCUUGUUUCGGCCUACUCCAAUUCAAGUGUGAAAUCAAGAUUAAAAAUGCUUCCCUUUGGCCAACAAAGCCCAUCUUUGACUAUGUUGUAUCAUUCAUCCCCCUGAUGCAAAAUAACUUUGUUGUUUGUUGCUAGCAUGAUGCUAAAGCUAACUAUCUAACCAGGCAAACAAGCAAUCUAAAAUUUGGUGAACUUAUUAAGCACCCCAUGAGGGGCUCUCAUGUGAAUUUUUUCCUGUUUUUAAACAAUAUUGGCCCAAGGGGGCAGCUCCAAAUAGCUGAAAAACAGAAGUUCCAGGGUUCACAGUUUCAAAAAUAUAUGUCUGAUUGUGGCAAAACAGACGUCUCCCAGUUUGCGAACCCCUGUACAACAUGUUAAAAAUGUGGGUGCACAGAAACCCCUAGAUAUUUUUCAUCCCCAAACUCCUUGGAAGAAAAAUCAGGAAGACGUACACAGUUACCCCAUUCUGAAAGAAAACAGCAAUUUUCAAAAUGUUUUUGGAUGGAUUUUCCCCCACAGGCCCAUUUGAACCAGUGACCAAAGCCUGGGUUCAAAAUUUGAAUGUAACUUAAACACUAAAGGUGUUUUUUUUCCCCUAACAGAAGGCAUUUUGUUAAUAUCCAUCCAAAAAGGGUUUUUUGUGUAGGUACAGAACACCAUCCCUCCUAAUGCAUUAGCAUUAGCAUAAUGCUAAUGCUUAUGCUAACGACACACUGCCAGAGCUCCACAACAAUAUCAGCUCGCUCCAGCAUAAGCACCCGGAGGCAUUUUACGUGGUUGCAGGAGACUUAAACCAUGUAAACCUGACAGACACUUUGUUCAAGUUCCACCAGCAUGGGAAAUAACACUCUGGACUGUGUCCACAUCAACAAAAAAGAUGCACACAGAGCUGUCCCCAUCCUCAUUUGGGCUUCUCCGACCACAUCGCAAUCGUGCUGGUUCCUGUUUACUGCCCUUUCCCCAGACGCCAGGCACCAACACAGAGGACCAUCACAGUGUAGCCCAAUGAGACUGCCGCAGCUAACCAAGACACAGACUGGCAGGUCUUCAGAAGGCAGCUUUGCACUAGGUGGAGGAGCACCUGGAGGAUUAUACAUCAGGUGUCCUCAGGUACAUCAGGAAGUGCAUGGAGAACUUCACCAGCACCAUGACUGUAACGUACUAUCCCAACCAGAAACCCUGGCUGAACGCAGAAGUGCAGUCUCUACUGAAAAACAGGAAUGCUGCUUUCCAGUCUGGUGACAAGGUAGCACUCAGAGUAGUGAGAAGGGAUCUGCACGCUGGGGUGAACAGGGCCAAGCAUACCCUCAGAGGAUCCAGCAACAUUUUACGUCCAAUAAUCCCCGUAGUAUGUGGAAGGGCAUUAAGUGCAUCACAGACUACAACACCAGAGUUGUUCCGAAGACCCCUUUCUACAAGACGCACUCAACCUUUUGUACUGCUGCUUUGAGCUUUGAGGACUCCAACCCUGAAGAGUGGAGAGCCUUCCAGUGUGACACCCGCAGAAGUGAGGAAGACCAUCCAGAGGAUCAAUCUUCACAAAGCUUCUGGACCUGACAACAUCACUGGACGGGUCCUGACAGACACCAGCUCACAGAGGUGCUAACAGACAUUUUCAACACCCCCCUGAAGCAGGCAGUGUUCCCUACCUGCCUGAAGACCGUAACGAUCAUCCCAAA